UCCGUAGGUGAACCUGCGGAGGGAUCAUUACCGAGUUAUACAACUCAUCAACCCUGUGAACAUACCUAAAACGUUGCUUCGGCGGGAACAGACGGCCCUGUAACAACGGGCCGCCCCCGCCAGAGGACCCCUAACUCUGUUUUUAUAAUGUUUUUCUGAGUAAACAAGCAAAUAAAUUAAAACUUUCAACAACGGAUCUCUUGGCUCUGGCAUCGAUGAAGAACGCAGCGAAAUGCGAUAAGUAAUGUGAAUUGCAGAAUUCAGUGAAUCAUCGAAUCUUUGAACGCACAUUGCGCCCGCCAGUAUUCUGGCGGGCAUGCCUGUUCGAGCGUCAUUACAACCCUCAGGCCCCCGGGCCUGGCGUUGGGGAUCGGCGGAAGCCCCCUGUGGGCACACGCCGUCCCUCAAAUACAGUGGCGGUCCCGCCGCAGCUUCCAUUGCGUAGUAGCUAACACCUCGCAACUGGAGAGCGGCGCGGCCAUGCCGUAAAACACCCAACUUCUGAAUGUUGACCUCGAAUCAGGUAGGAAUACCCGCUGAACUUAAGCAUAUCAAUAAGCGGAGGAA
rnacentral:rRNA from 1 species